CAUUGAUUUGAAUAGAAGAUGGAUAGAGGUAGAGAAAGUUUAUUUCGGAUUUUAAUUGUAUUCCUCGCUCUUUUGCCAAACAACUUAGGAAGUUCUUAAAGAAGUCUAAGUAAUCUGUUAAUUUUUUCUUUCUUUUACACAUGAUAUAGUAGUGGUUUUUUUUUUUUUUUUUUUUUUUUUUUUAUUUUUUUUAUUUUUUUUUUUUUUUUUUUUUUUUGUUCUUUUUAUUAUUUUUGUAAUCUGUUAUUUGUCUUACUUUGUCACAAAACUUGGGGAUAGCUUGAAUGCUUUGAGAUCACACAUUUAUUGUCUAUUCUUUUAAACUUGUUCACAAAUAUGGGGAAAGAAGAAAUUAAACA
rnacentral:lncRNA from 1 species